rnacentral:lncRNA from 1 species
AGAGAAGUCUUCCUAUGGAGAAAGAUACAAGUCUUUCUAUGGAGAAAUGUACACAUUAUCUAUUUAUUUGUUGUUUGUGAGUAAGGGUGGGAAUAGGCUAGGCCGGCCUAUAGGGGCCUACGACUUGACCUGCAUAAAGUCUGGCCUGAACUGACCUAUUUAAUUAAAAGGUUAGGUUCAGACUUUUUUAAAAGCCUAUUAAAUUAAAUAGAUCAGACUUAGACUUAUUAAAAAGCCUUAUAAGUCUGAUAGGCCGAAAUGAUGAGCAAUGUAUUGUAUUGUAAUAGAUAACAAAUUAACCCAACCCAAAAACUAAAAUUUGGAGUAGACAUUUUGUUACUACUAACUGAAUGCUAAGCAAACCAAGUUUAUGCUGCGGGAGCAUAGUCAUAGAUAUCACUGUCGUCGUCACCUUUCAUGUAUGCAAUAUGGCCAAAACAGGAAUCUCCAUUGCCUUUAUGAUCAUCUCCUUCAGUGCAAGCUGUAGGAGCAUAAUAAAGAUACCAAUCACCGUCUUUGUUGCCACAUGCAUGCUUCUUGCAUUCUUGGUUAAUGGCCUUAGAAGUGAGUGCCAUUUAGCUUUUUAGGCCUGGAAAAAGAACCACUGGGUGUCCUGAAUUGGGAUUGGAAAACAAAAGAUGGAAAGUUAUAAGAUACUAC